rnacentral:lncRNA from 1 species
CGGACGAGGCAGACCUUGCCGUCCCUGGCGGCGAGGCUGAAGCUCUCCUCCCCGGCCUUGCAGAAGACCCUGUACGUCGGCUGCCUGGUCGCCGGGGGCGCCAUCCCGCCGCCGCCGCCGUGGUGCGGGCGCGUCUCGUUGCCGUAGCCCCCGUACUGCGGCCUCUCGUCGCCGGACUCGUGGGAGACGUGCACCACGUUGCCGUGGGCGGGCGCGCCGUAGCCUUCGUCGCGGCCGCCUCCGUACGCCGGAGCGGGGGCGUGGCGCCCGUAGUCACCCCCGCCGUACCCGGCCGGCGCGGGCGCGUGGCGCCCGUAGUCGUCCUCGCGCCCCCCACCGUAGGCCGGGGCGCGGCCGCCGUAGUCGUCCUCGCGCCCCCCACCGUAGGCCGGGGCGCGGCCGCCGUAGUCGUCCUCGCGCCCCCCACCGUAGGCCGGGGCGCGGCCGCCGUAGUCGUCCUCGCGGCCGCCACCGUAGGCGGGGGGCGGGGCGCCGUAGGCGACGUCGUCGGGGCGGCGGCCGUAGGACGGGGGAGGGGCGCCGUAGGGGUCGGGCUCUUGGCGGCCGUAGGGGGCGGGGGGGCGGCGGUCGUCGUCGUCGUCGUCGCGGCGGCCGUGGCCGUGGCCGUGGCGGUGAGGGAACUCCAUGAUUGAUUGGCCUGUCGGUGGUGGUGGUCGGGACUCGGGAAAUGGGAACGCGGGGGGGUGGUGGAGGUGGAUCCGAUCCGAGCCUAAAUAUGUCGCGUCGCCGGAGUACAUGUCGACGGGCGGGUGAGGUGAGCGCGCGACGUGGCGCCAAUGGGACGCGCUCGCACGACCGACCGACCGACCGGCCGGGCCGAUUCAAUUUCGCAACUGGGCGAUGGCGAUCGGUGGAUCGCCACGUGCACAGCUUUGCACUACACACGUCGCGGAUGGUGGAAAAAUCGUGGUCGUAUCUCAUCCGUUGUUUCUUUUCCUUCGGAUGCCGCGGGAGAUCGGAUCGUAUCAAGCCAAACCAGUCAAGUACCAGCUCAACAAAAAUCAACCGAGCACUCAAUUAUUGCUUGAAUUUCAAGAAGAAAAAAAGGGAAAAGGAGAAUUCGAUGUGGUGUGUACGCUGUGGCCCAAUGGUGCAGCUGCGAGUUCUGAUUUCUUGUUUGAUUGGGGUUGCAUGCGCGGAGGCAGCGGGCGCCAGACGGCGAAUCCUAUUUGACGCUGCAAGCGUCGGUUAAAGUGUAUUUUUCUUAACUGACGCCUGCAGUUUUCGGUCAUGGCCGACCCUUCGGGAGGCGGUUUUUCCGUCUUUGUGAAGGUUCCGCAAGCUUUCUAGAUGGAUUUUCUUAUUUAUGUUUUUUAGGACUGGUUCUUCUUUGGUUUAUCUUUUUUUCUUUAUUAUUUUUAUUACUUUUUCAUUUUCGUUUUAAUAUUUAUAUAAUUUUUACUUUUUGAAAAACGCAGCCAUUUCUUGAUUAACUUUUUCUCAAACGAACAAAUAUUUUUUCAGAUCAAUGAACCUUUUUCAGAAUUAUAUGUUCUUUUAUUAAAAUUCUAUGAACAUUUGUGAAUAUCGAUGAACUUUUUUCAAAUUAUGAUGAACGUUUUUCUGAUUGAUGAACUUUUUGAAAUGGAUGAACCUUUUUAAGAAUUGUGAAAAAAAAUUCAGUUCAACAAUUUUUUUAAAAAAAAAUCAAAUUCAUGAACUAAUUUUCAAAAUCCGUUAACUUUUUAAAAAUGUGAGAAGUUUUUUUUCAGAUCACAAUGAAUUUUUUCAAAUUCGUUAACUUUUUGUUUCAAAAUUGGUGAACCAUUUUUCGCUUUUAUGAACCUUUUAUGUUCUUUUUUUUUUGGUUUUUAUUAUAAAAAACCCACCUUGAGCCUGGGCCGGCCCGUUAUGCACGGUGUGUGGGCGCUAGUUCUCCUAGCUGGCGCUUAAGGCGCCGCCUCGCCGCUAUGAGCUCCCGGGCCAUACCCCCCCCCCCCACCCAAGGAACUAGUAGUAAUAUAUUGGCUUAAUUAUACGAUGGACUUAAUCCACUUGUUGACUCGUACCUGCUAAUCGAUCCACACGAUCAACGAUACGCACACACUAAUCCAAUUUGAUGUUAUCGACUCUUUCCUCGGCGACGCACCAGUCGCUAGGGUUUCAUUGACGCCGCCGUGCUGGUCGCCGGUUGUCGCGUCGGGCCGCCACCGCCGACCCGCUGUGCUCCGCCCGUCAUCGACCGUGCUGCCGCCGACCAUGCAUCAAUCGAGUACAGAGAGUCCACACAGGCUAAGAAGUUGAACGGCGCUGCCGCAAGCCCACACACAAUCCCUAACCGAUGCUGUGCAGCUGUGUUGUGAUCAGAAGACGAGGUCUUGAUGUAAUGUAAGGUGUACAAUUGUCUAGUGUCUACAGACCAGGUUUCAUAUUAUUGUGGUUGUCACUUGUUGGUUUGAUUCAUUCAAUAGAUCAAUUAAUCAAUUGUUAGUACUUAGUAGUUAGUAAUAAUUUAUUUUGAUACUUGUGAGAUCAAUUACAUAUUUUCUUUUUACUUAAUGGAAGAACUGAAAACUGCAUAGGUCAUGAAUAAGAGGAAGACAUCACCGAUAAGUAAUGGUUUCAACCAAUUGCUACAAACUCUAACUCUGCGAUUGAAAAUGCAAAUGCAAGUGUCAAGGUAGAUGUCACACAGCAACCCACUGGUCAUAAUGUCCCCAAUCUCAGUUCAGUUGAUAUGCCACCCCCCGAGCAAAAUAUUCAGGUAUCUGUGGAAGUUCUAGAACAGCAAAGAAUUGGAAGCACACCAUUUGAGCGAGACCCUGGAAAGCGCAAAUAAAUUUGGGAACUCCCUCUUGAGAAGCAAAAUGAAGCACCUUGAUCGUAAAUCUCUCGAAAACUCGUCACUAUAGCUUAUCUGUGGUGGCACCAAUACUGUUAGAGAUUGGAGAGCUAGUUUCCUCUUUUUCUUCCUUUUACAUUUAACAUGUAAAUCCGUCAUCCAACGUACCGGGCCAUCUUUGUGCAAAGUUUGCUUGCACACUGACGGUCAUCGAAAGUUGGAUGGAUUUGAGACCCUCUUUCCUGCUCAUCAGCUUAUUGAUUGAUGAUGCCAGGAGGCAGGAGCUCUUUUGUUGAAUAAAGCUCUCUGACUGGAACACAAAAAAAGACACAACCAUUCAAAAAUGAUUGUGACAUUUACAAAAGUAUUCACGCUCUUCAAACAUAUGUUCACAACAUUUUCAGGAAAUGUCUAUACAACAGUAAAGAAAGUUAUGUAACUUCAAAUAAAUUGUACUACCAUUAAAAAAACUUUGUGUCAUCAUAAAAAAGGUUCACACGUUUCAAAAACAUGUUCGUAUUGUUUUUCUACAUAUGUUCGUACCAUUCAAAAAAUGUUUGUGACAUUGAGAAAAAUGUGCAUGUGUUUCGGAAAAAAUGUUGUUGAUUUUUUUAUACAAAUGUAAAAAAAAGUUUGCUUAGUUUAGAAGAAAAAAUAUUAUACCAUAAAAAAUAUGAUCAAAUAUGUAUUCCAAAAAAGUUGGACACGUAUUCAAAAAAAAUGUUCAAAGCAUUUAAAAAAAAACUAAUGUGUAUCAAAAAUAGUUGCUGAUGUACACAAAAAUGUACAACAUAUAUGAAAAAAUAGACAUGUAUUGAGAAAAUGGGGAAAUAUUAAACGUAUACGAAAUAGACAUCUAUUGUGGCAGUUCAAGACAAUAAUCGUAGUCGUCAAAAGGUUCUUCCUUUGCGACAGCAAGAACAACUUGGUGGGUAAUUUGUCAAUUCUUAAAGCCAUUCAUUCACCAUCACUUGAUUAAUUUGUAACUCAGCUAAUUAGCCACUAGCUACGACUAACAUCACUUGCAUAGCUUGUGGGGCAUCACUUUGCUUUCAGCACAAGAAAGUACUUAUAGUUAAUAAGUUAUUUGAGCUAAGUAGCAAUCCAAUGUGCGACGUGGAGUUUCUCAGCCCGCGCUCAACUGAGCUCGAAUGAACAGUAAAAGUAAAGUGAGAAAAACUGCGGCAAACCUAUUUAGCGUGACAGGCAUUGCUUAAAGGAAAAAGUUGCUAACCGGCGCCUGCAGGGCUCCGUAAUGGGCGGGCCCAUGUUGAGAUCCUUCAUGAACUUUUUUUAGCCUGUGAAAUGUUUUAGCCCGUGAUCUUUUUUUGAAAUCGGUAAACUUUUUUGAAAAUCAAUGAUAUUUUUUGGAAAUUCAUGAACAUUUCUGAAAAUCAAUGAACAUAAUUUAAAAUUCAUGAUUUUUUUCAAAAUCAGUGAAAUAUUUUUAAAAAUUGAUGAACUUUUUCAAAAUCAGUGAACUGUUCUUAAAAAUUGAUGAACUUUUUUCAAAAUCAAUGAUUGUUUUUUCGAAUCUUUAAACUUUUUGAAAAUCCAUGAAAAUAUUUUUCAAAAAUAGGUGAACAUUUUCAUAAUAAUUGAACUUUUUUGAAAAUCUGAACUUUUUAAAAUUCUGUGAACUUUUCUCAAAUUUUUAGUGACCAAGACAUUUUUUACAUGGGAGGAGUGCUUCAGGCGCCGGUUUCCCUAACUGGCGCUGAAGGCGCCAAAUACGAGGGGACUUCCUAUACCGUACCUUCAGCGUCCUCUAAGCCAAUUGGCGCUCGAUGUACCUUCCUAUACCGUCCUAUUUAAACUUUUUAAAAAUCCAUGAACAUAUUUUUCAAAAAUAGGUGAACUUUUUUCAUAAUAAUUGAACUUUUUUGAAAAUCUGAACUUUCUAAAAUUCUGUGAACUUUUCUCAAAUUUUUAAUGACCAAGACAUUUUUUACAUGGGAGGAGUGCUGCAGGCGCCGGUUUCCCUAACUGGCGCUGAAGGCGCCAAAUAGGAGGGGACUUCCUAUACCGUACCUUCAGCGUCCUCUAAGCCAAUUGGCGCUCGAUGUACCUUCCUAUACCGUCCUCUUUAAACUUUUUGAAAAUCCAUGAAUAUAUUUUUCAAAAAUAGGUGAACUUUUUUCAUAAUAAUUGAACUUUUUUGAAAAUCUGAACUUUCUUAAAUUCUGUGAACUUUUCUCAAAUUUUUAAUGACCAAGACAUUUUUUACAUUGGCUGGCCCAUGAGGAGGAGUGUUGCACGCGCCGGUUUCCCUAACUGGCGCUGAAGGCGCCAAAUAGGAGGGGACUUCCUAUACCAUACCUUCAGCGUCCUCUAAGCCAAUUGGCGCUCGCUGUAUCGAAUUCAUGGGCCGACCAACGACGCGCAACACAAGCGCAAAAGUCCUAAAAAAUGAUGGGGAUUGAUCUGCGACGGCGCGCUGGCCCAAACUUUUGGCCGGCCGCGCGCGAGCGGCAGGAUCCACCAACCCCGCGUCGUCCGCACCAUUGGAUCCGCAUGCAACAUUUUUUUUUCCUAUGCAGCAAAAUUUCGAUUCGAUGCGAUGCAGCAAUUUUUUUAACGGUUGCAACAAAAAACAAAAAUUGUGCCAAAAAAAUAUUUACGUGAUCGUAGCAAAAAAAUAAAGCUGAUGGUACGUGGUAGCAAAAGUCAAACGCCGAUUGUAACAAAUAUUUAUGUGACGUGUAUGCAACUUUUUUAGUGAACAGUUGCAGCAAACAUGAUGCCGGUUGUAGCAAAAAUUAACACGGUUGUAGCAAAAAGUAAAAAACAUCGAUUGUAACGAAAAAUCCAACGAACUGGUGUUGCAACCAAACGUAUAUGCAGCUUUUUUACUGAAACAAAAAAUAGUAAAAAAACGCUUGCAGCAAAAAUGACGCUGGUUGCAACAUAUUUAGACGAAAAAUGUUGCAUCCAUUGACCAGAAAAGCGCGCGGGUGGAAAAAAUGUUGCAAGGACCCGCGCGCGCGAGGGGAUGACCGGCGCGCGGGUGGGAAACGAUUCCCAAGAAUGAUUGGGGCUUUGACUCGAACUCAGGUCCUCUCAUUCCUACAUCUUCUCUGCUAACCACUAGUCCUAGAAGCUAAUAGUAAUCAACUGAACCUCAAAAAUAUUUAAGAAUACUCUAGCCACGUAGUUCCAAAAUCUGAAAGUUCACAUAUUUUUAAAAAGUUCACGAUUGUUUUCUUAAAAAAGCCUCACGUAUUCGAAAAACAAAAUCACGAAAUUGAAAAUUCAUUAAUUUGAGAAUAAAAUUUCACAAAUUUUCAAAAAAAUCUCUAAUUUAAGAAAAGUUUGUAAGUUUGAAAAACGUUAACAGAUUUGAAAAUGUUCACAAGAUCCACAUAAGUUCACCAAAUUGUUAAAAAAAUUCAAGAAUCUUUAAAAAGUUCCAUCAAAUUCGAAAAAAGUUCAUCAAUUUUGAAAAAAGUUCAACGGAUUUCAAAACAAGUUCAUUGAUAUUUUUUUUUUAAGUUCAUCGAAUCUGCAACAGUUUUAUCAAUUUAAAAAAAGUUCAGUGUAUUUUCAAAAAAGUUUAUCAUUUUUUAUAAAUAUUUUGAACAAAAACUUGGAAAAGGUUCAUUGGAUUCGAAAAAGGUUCACCGAAUUUUGAAAAUUUCAUCAAGUUUAAAAAUAGUUCACCAUUUCGUAAAAAGUUCACAAAUUCAAAGGAAAAAAAUCAUCAAUGUUGGAAAAAGUUCAUUGGUUUUUCUAAAAAAAGUUCAUUGUAUUUGAAAAAGUUUGUCAAAUUUGAAAGAAGUUCACUGAACUAGGAAAGAGUUCAUCAAAUUUUAAAAAUUGUGGAUGGAUUAAAAAAUAAACGACUAAGAAAGAAGGAAAAUUAAAAAGAAAAUAAAAACAAAAACAGAAAACAGAUAAAAGGAAAAAUGAAAAAAGAAGAAACAAUGAUAAGGUAAAAAUGACGUAUGUUGACACAUCAAGGAAUGUGGUUACCACUCUUCGCACCGAGCUAGGAGAUCCUGGGUUCGAAUCCUACUCCUUUCCAAUAUUUGAAUGAACAGACAGACGUAAAUGGGCUAACCGGCGCCUGCAGCAUUAAAUAGGAAAUGCCGAAAUGACGAAUAGGAGGUCCCAAAAAACUGUGUGUGCCUGUGCUAGAUUGGGUCAGGCGCAUGUCUGCCUCGCGCACUAGGCUUGGCCCAUCAUCGGUGUGCUUGAGACGAGGAAGUCUUAAGCGAGACAUAGAGGCUCUCACGAAGUAUAGCAUUGUGGACUGGAGUAGAAUAUAGUUCUUUUAAGCUAAGCCUAACCCCCUUUAUGGCCCAAUACAUAUAUAAACACUACACACUCUGUGCCGGCCUACAUGCACUGACCCGAACUUGUACUCGAUCUGGUCAUGGCCCACAAAAUUGGAUCAUUCUACGUUCGAUUCUCCUUUUCUGCUGAAAAAAAUGCAAGACAAUAGAGCAUUUUUUAGGAAGCAAUACCACUAUAUAUGUUGUCAUUGCAACAAUCUAUUAUAUUAAGAGCAUCUACACCCGGACCCCUCAUACAUGUCUCAAACGCCUCGACAGGCCGUCCGACCAGUGAUCGGUCACAAAAACGCGACCCAACCGAACCUCUUAAAUCCGUCUCAAACGCCCGAGCUGACCGGCACUGCUCAUAUCCGGCCCAAAUAUAGGGCUGAUAUGGGGCGGUCCGGUCACACCGGGUGUGUCUGCCCGGUAAGCCCGGUCCAACACUGACCCCACCGUUGUCCCACAAAAUCCCCACUUUGGCCGCCUCGUUCCGAACUCUAGCUCACUCUCUCUCGCUCUGUCCCCUCCUCCCCCUCUUCGAGUAUGAUCCCAUCGUGUCCAAUGUCGAUCUCCGACAGCCGCUCCGGCUCCGACGGUCGCUCCGGCUCCAACGGCUCGGACAUCGACCCCGAGGAGUUGGCCCUCCGCAUCGCCUUGGAGCGCGGUCCAAGGUGGAGACGGCCGGAAGCUCCGGAUCUAGCGCUUAGCCACUGGUCCCGCGUCGACGGAUCUAUGACAUCGAAGCGGGACCCUCCCGGCACGCGAGCAGCUCCGUCGGGACUGCGUCCGCACCUGCCCUGCGUGCUGCCCUUUCCCCGCCGGCCGCUCCUCCACGCGGGCAUCAUUGGGUCCUAGUACCCGCACCAUUGGCCUGCACGGGCACUCCGGAAUCGGAGGCGCGCACCGCCCACCGUGAGAGGCAGCGGGCAAGGGAGAGGGAAACAAAGCAGUCUGUGCGCCACCGUCGCGAGAUGCCGGCUGAGCCCGACAAGGACGAACGCCUCCUCGCAUGGGUGUACCUCGGGUCCCUCACGACGGCAGAGACGAGUGUUCGACACCUUCGUCAGAAGAACGCCAAGGCGUUUCAGCUUGCUAUUGAGCAGUCGGAGCGCGAAGCGAAGGAGCUAGCGGAGGAGAAGGCUCGACUCGCCAAGAUGAAGCGGGAGCAGUACAGGGCCGUCCGUCGGAUGAAUGGCCUCAUCGUCUUCUUGGACUCGGACUCUGACGACGGCAACAACGACACCUCGCCCUUUGACCCUCCGCCAGCCACGAACGGCUACAACUGCGUCGACGACCCACAGGGCAAAGGGCCAGCAAGGAAGUGGUGAUCUGCCCCCCCCCCUCUACGCAUUAUUUAUAUACUCCCUCCGUCCCAAAAUUCUUGUCUUAUUGUCUAAAAAUGGAUGUAUCUAAGUACUAAAACAUAACUAGAUGCAUUCAUAUCUAUACAAAUGUAAGACAAGAAUUUUGGGACGGAGGGAGUAGUUUUUAGUUGUAGUAACGUAAGAAAUUUGUCCGAUGAACUUGAGAUGAUCUUGUGGCUGAUGUUUGAUGUCCGUUUGAAGUUGAUUUUGUGUUUGUGCGUUUUUGAUUUUGUUGUCCUAUGUUUUUUCACGUACAAUAGCUCAACGUUGCGUGGGUAGUACGGAUAUGGGUGUCGGAUAUAAGACAAGCGGAUGUGAAAAGGAAAAUAUGAAACGCGUCUGGCCAGUGUACGAGACGCGACCGUUUGAGGGGUUAGAUUUGCAAGUUACGACUAUAGAUGCUCUAAAUACUAUCUUUCCUGGUUAAAAAGACACUUAAGGCCCCUCCCCACUUCACCUAUGUCUUCGGUUUUGCCGAUUCUUCUCAUUGAUUUUUCUUAAAAGACACCUCAACUGUCUCAUGUAUUUUUAUAGCUUAGCAAAUAAAAUUAUGUUUUCGUUGGUAUGUCUAUAGGUGCUAGUUUAAUUGACAGUCGAUAUAUUAGCAGUUAUGGCGAAGCCACAAGUUCAAAGUUAUGAUCUCAAUUCAUAAUUGUGACCAAAUACGUGUGUUUAUAUGAUUUUUUUUCUUUCUUGAUUUCUACUUAUAUGUGUUGCUUUUGCACAAAUACUGUAUAGUCAACUGACUACACAGAACACAUGUGGAGUCGUCAUUGUGUAAUCACACUUACACACUAUCAAUAAAAUGACGGGUAAAUCAUGAUGAGUGCGUGCAAAAUAUUUAUGCCUCGUUGCAACACCAACCAUUAUCUAAUAGUAGUAGUUAAGAAACAAUAUCCCUGGUCCUCAAAAGGUUCUCCCUUUGCGGCAGCAAGCACAACUUGGUCAGUAACUUGUCAACUCUCAGAGCCAUUCAUGCAUCAUCACCUGAUUAAUUAUUAUUUUUAACGCAAUCACCUGAUUAAUUAAUAACUGGUGAGGGUAUAUCCGUACACAUGCAGCUCAGCUAAUUAGCCACUAGCUGCGGUUGACAUCACUUGCAUAGCUUGUGGGGCAUCACUUUGCUUUCAGCACAAGGAAGUGGUUAAUUAAUCACUUAUUUGAGCUAAGUACCAAUCCAACGUGUGCUUUUGCUUCGUCUUAGGAAGCAGGUUAUGGAGCUGUCUCGUUGAUACCUAGCUACUUGGCACUUGCAGUGGUCAAACACUUGGUAGAAAACAUUUUUUAAUUUUGAGCGUGUUCAUUCUGAUGGAUCGAGAUAGCUUGACCCCUUCAAGUUAUAUGUAAUAAUGCACAUCGAUUGUACAAGCAAAAGGCCGAUUUAAUAUACUCAUGGCAUUAUAUUACUCCGUUGCAUUACGUGAGAGAAUUCUCAAUGAUGAGUGCCAUGCAUGCACAAGGUGAAAAAACAACAAAAACAAUGAAGCGUGCAUGGUUGAUCAAGGUAUCAGUUUACCAUCCCAUUGUUUUUUUUAUCUACCGGUGGUCUACGAAUUCAUAUGUGCUAGUAUUCAGUUGGUAUAACCAUAAUCAGCGAAAAAUUCGAUGGGGCAUCAUGUAUCCGCAGCUUAGUUAUACGCAUACAUACGUAAAAUAUUCAACCCAUGCUACAAAAAAUACUUUUAUCCAUGUGGCAAUCUUGCAUUGCUCCAUAUAUAAUUUCUCAAAUAAAUUGCUAAGAUAUAUUUAAUUAUUAGAUACACGCAUGCCUAUAUGGUUGUUUAAUUACCUUUCACAACAUUUAGUUACUUUUUGUCAAUAACAUUUAACAAAUGUACAACUUGUACUAGUAAGUACGUACAACAAACAAAAUGUAGAUAUAUUGUUACCGCGACGCAUCGCUCAUAGGAGUGGACACGAAAUAGAUAGUGAUAUUGGGCAUUGCUAUUUUCUCCUUAUUGAAUUAAUAUCACAAUUGAUUCGUGUGUACAAAAUAUGAGCAUGACGCCGAGCAGUUGAGUGGCCCCAAUGUGAAUUUAUUUCUAACACCACCUACACCCCAAAUCUAAUGUUGUUAUUCAUGACCAAGUAAUCUUAUUAUUUAUGUGCCUCGUGAGUUUGCUCUUCAUAUUCGGGUUUGCAUUUGUGCAAAUGUGAGCUUCAUUAUCUUCAUGUAUGUAGAUCCGGGUUCCCUCUGCUAUGAUACCAAUUGUAGGAAACCUACUAUGUGAUGGCUUUGAUACCCAUAAUACUUGAGAACCUUCACACUCUCAAAUAAUGGGGAUAACUCGAUCUUUUAUUCACAACCACUAAUAGAAAAACUACUUUACGUGAGAUACAUUAGUCCCUGUUUGUAAACGGACGGGCACUAAUGUGACCAUUAGUGCCGGUUUAAACGGCUAGGGAGGCGCGCAUCAUUAGUCAUGAUUCGUGUUGAACCUCUAGUACCGGUUCGUGACACGAACCGGGACUAAUGGAGUGGUGACAGGCUGGUGUCUGCCUGCUUCAACUCAUGAUACUUGGUACAAACUUUAUUGGUGUCUACCUGCCAUUCUCAUUCAUAGCGGGUCCUACUACUACCUUGGUUCUCUUUCUACCUUGCUUAGUUUGGUUUAUCUUAGGAGGGGAGUCCAUCCCUAUCUAGAGUUGCACAUGACCAUUAGAUUGAUGGCAGGUGGCAACCAUCCAAAACCAAUGCAGUCAUUGCUCUCUGAAUAACCUAGAAAACACCCUACAAAUAUCUUAUAUCUAGUGUUCUCUUUAAUUUGCCACAUAAUUUAUUCAAACAUUUGUUCUAGAACCACCGAGAGAAAUAACAACUCAUGUGUAUUAAUAUCCAAAUGAUCUAGAAGUUUCUUAUCUUUGAGAUGAAUAACUUCUCUAGUAUCCUCCAUGGCAAAUAUCUUGACGUUCUCGAUUCUUAGAAAUAUCUUCAGUGACCCAAGUAUGCAUUGCAUAUUAUCAACAAUAGGAAAUCGAUAGAGUAUCUCAAGAAUGUAAACAACUAUCGGCUAUGGCAUGUCACCGUAUGAGGCCAAAUGGUGUGCAUAUGUCAACAUAGGGAGGAUAUCUAGUGGCCAAGCACUCCCGGUGCUGCCAAUGCACAAAAUCACCAUUCUAUUACUUUCUUUUUUCUUAAAAUGUUAAGUGAGUCAAUAAGAUAUGUUUGUACAAUGUGUGAAAUUUUGAAAUCAAUUCAACCUACAUAUGAUGGAGAAGCAAAAAUAAAUAAAUAAAUAAAUAGAAAUUCAGCCAUGAUGGUGUUUGUAUUUUGAUUUUUUAUAAUAUUCAUAGUUGGAUUUAUCUUUUUCGAGUAAGAUGUUUUUAUCCUCUAUCUACAUACUCCCCCUGUUCCAAAAUAAUUGUCUUAAUCUUGUACUAAUCUUAGUAUAAAAUUAUACUAAUUUUGAGAUACUUAUUUUGUGACGGAGGAAGUGGAAUUUUGUGGUGCCGACCUCUUAGGUGGGACACACACAUGCUUCCAUCGAUGUCCAUGCAUAGGAUGAUGGGAAUAUCAGCAUCUGUCAUUUUUUUUCUAACUGUUUUUACUUCUUCCUUUUUCCAACUAGCUUAGCCUAUCAAUUGCUUGUUCGUGUACAUACUUGUGUGUCUCUCUCGAUAAACUUGUCGUUCCUUGGGUGCGAUGACUUCGCAAGGAAUCCAACCUUUCUACCAGUAAAAAAAAAAAAGACAAGCCAUUGCUCUCCUCUUUAUUUUAAAGUACAUGCACUUCAAUUAUGCACGUCUCUUCCCCCUAACACGAGCAUGCAUUAUAAGUUGCUACUAUUCUAUAAGCUCCAAUUGAUUCAUCCAAAGUCCAAGAUUUGGUUACAAUAAAUAAGGAAAGUAAUUUUAAACUAAUACGAAUUUUAUUCAAUGAAUGUUCACAAUUUACAUCCUAGUUCACCCUACAUAUACAUACAUAUACACACAAGUUAAACAUGCAUCUACAAUCAGUUCUACCUAUCUUGUGACAUAAUUGUGUUCUUCUUCUACUCCGGCCUAUAAUAUCUUACACUAAUCAAUUAACUUUACACAAUAUACGGUACUAAUUUAGCCUGAUCUACAAAUUAUGCAUGAGUAAUAUCCCCCUCGAUCCAUUGAUCGACCGGCAUCAAUAGUGAAUAAUUGAUUAAUAUGUCUGCAGUCAAAUCGCUAGCUAGCUUUCUCCUAGCCCUAAUUAUCAAGGUAGCAUGCAUGGAUCAUAUCCUGUCCUGCUGGGAAGGCUGGUCUGGCCCAAAUAUGGAGAAGCCGCCGUUCAUCAUCGUCAUGGACCCAUCGCUACCCAACCACCUCUUGGAAGCGUGCAACGACGACAUUUCACCAUCGUUAUUGCUGUCCGCCGUCGCCUGCCUCUUCCGCGCCGUGCUGGCCUCGCCGUCGCUGGCCCCAGCAGUGGUGCCGAGGAAGAACUGGCCGACGGAGGUUGCAAUCUCCGGCUGUGGCGGCGGCAUGCUGUCGAAGAGCUCCGAGACGGCUGAGUAGUCCACGAGGUAGUCGGAGAUGGACGGGUUCCUCGGCAGCAUCCGGGAGGAGGAGGAGGUGUCCUCUUGCUGCUGAUGUUGCUGCUGCUGCUGCUGCUGCUGGUGGUGGUGGUGGCCGUGGCCGAGGCCGAGGGUGGCGUCCAUGGACGACGGCGACGGCGACGGCUCGUAGAAGGGCGACAGCUGCUGCGGGUUGGGCUUCUUGUAGAUCCUGCACAGCACCCAAUCAUCCAGCUGCACGCACACAAGAAGGUGAAUCAGUGCCACACACGUGUGUGCAUGUAUGUUGCAACAAACGGUCGCUUGCUAAGCUUGACAGGUAGUUGGUGCUGGUUAGCUAGUAGGUUGUGGCUUGUAAGGUAAUAGUGCAAGUCUCUUUCUUAGGGAAGGAAGAUCCCAGCGGUGAAAGAAACUAUAGCUAAUAGGACGGACAGUGGCUUCCUAGCUCAUUGACCAGGUUAGUUGCUUGCUCGAGCUCAACUCACUGACAUCCACGCACACGCAACUAAUAAGAAGAGAACAAAAGAUUCCUAGCUAGCUCCAACGAGAUGCCUUCCUCGUUAAUUUGCAGCCGCAGAAAACAUGCAUAUGCAUGUGUGAUCAAUCAAGAAGAAAUAAUAAAGCAUGAAAUUACCGAGUACAACAAGAUGAUGGAGAGAGCCAUCGCAAAAAAAGAAAAAAAGAAAGAUGAUGGAGAAAGAGUUGUGCAUGCAUGCGUACCCUCAUGGAGGACGAGGCCUUGAACCGCGUGGGGGGCCGGUAUGUGUGCGCGGCGGCGGCGGCGGCGGCGUGGGCGUCGGCGAGGCGGUACUCGUGCAUGAUCCAGUUCGUCUUGUGCCCCUUGGGCGGACGGCCCUGGUAGAACACGAGCGCCUUCUUGACGCCGACCAUCUCGCCGCCGGGCACGCCGCCGGCCGUGAUGGGCUUGUCGGUGCCGGUGGCCUUCCAGUAGCCCGACCCGGCGGCGCGGUUGGGGCGGACGCCGUUGGGGUACUUGCGGUCGCGGGGGCUGAAGAAGUACCACUCGUCGUUGUCGCCCUCGAACACCGCGCGGGACGGCAGCUCCCACGGGUCCAGCUUGUAGAUGUCCACCUCCGCGAUGACGGCCGCCGGGCACGGCGCCGCGGCCGCGCGCCUGCGGAGGUAGUGCACGAUCAGCUCCUCGUCCGUCGGGUAGAACCGGAACCCCGGCGGCAGCCCCGUGCCCGCCGGCGCCGGGAGCGACGUCGGCCUCGUCUGCAGCUCGAUCGUCAUCACACACACCCGAUCGAACGCUCGGUCAGGGGCUCAAGGCGGCGAGGGAAGGGAAGGGAAGGUGGGUCGAGAGUCGAGACGGAGGAGAACUGAAAUUUUCGGAGGUGGAGGCGACGGGUGCGGUUAUAAAGGCGCCGAGGUGCUCCGGCGCAUGGCAGGCUCUUGUAAUUCUUGGCCGCCGGUGACGAGAGGGAUGAUGAUUGCAAGGGCCCUGCCGUACGUGCGCGUCCAUCCAUAUCACGUCAUCGGCGCUCGCAGGCUCACGUACUUGGCCAGAAUCUUCAAUUUGUUGGAAUAUUUUCUCUCUUUUUUGUGCCAUGUGAGAACGAGAGAGUGGGGGAAAAUAUAUCCGAAAAAGACAUUAGCAGAAUGAAUGGAUGAAAAUUGUGCAAAUGAUUGGAGAAGUUGGAUAUUCGGCUCGGUUUGUAGGACCGGGAAGCGUUCAUGGCCCAGAGGAAUACCAUAGCACAUGAAUACCAGGUACGGUGUUUUUGUGUGUGUUUUCAUUGACCACGCAGGAAUAGCUACUCCUAUGCAUGCAUGCACUGAUGCACAUGCAUGGUGCCAUUUGCUGCUGGCUGAGACAUUUCAAAGAAAAUUAGUAUUAUUCAUUGCUGAAAUGCAAAGCUCGGAAAAUCAUUGGAGUUGUCAUAGACUACAAACUACAAGUUGAUUGAAUUCAGAUCAAGAUUUUUGUAGGCCCGGGAUUAUCCGAUCUUCAUUUAAUUCUGUUCAUUGCUAAAACGGAGGGACUUAGGAGUAUGCAUGCACAUGCAUUAGAGUCAUCUGCUGCUUAGCUGCUAGCCGAGACAUACAAAAUUAUAUUCCCUGCUGGUAUGCAAAACCAUUGGAGCUGUCUAGACUACUAAUUGAUUGAAGUUGCUUAAAUAUCUCCAUCAAACUCUAAGCAUUCAGAUCAAGAUUUAAUCAUUUUCAUAAAGCGCACGAAGGUUCUACUUGCACAGUUGAAGAGUGAAAUUUAAGAACUGGUAGUGCGCAAUUUGUAGUAACUGAAUCCAAAAGGAAAGGUACCUACGGGCG